GAUGAACGCUAGCUACAGGCUUAACACAUGCAAGUCGAGGGGCAGCAUGGUCUUAGCUUGCUAAGGCCGAUGGCGACCGGCGCACGGGUGAGUAACGCGUAUCCAACCUUCCCCCUAGUAGGGGAUAGCCCGGCGAAAGCCGGAUUAAUACCCUAUGUUAUCCGUCGAUGACAUCAGAAGCGGAUCAAAGAUUGAUCGCUAGGGGAUGGGGAUGCGUCCGAUUAGGUAGUAGGCGGGGCAACGGCCCACCUAGCCUUCGAUCGGUAGGGGUUCUGAGAGGAAGGUCCCCCACAUUGGAACUGAGACACGGUCCAAACUCCUACGGGAGGCAGCAGUGAGGAAUAUUGGUCAAUGGGCGAGAGCCUGAACCAGCCAAGUAGCGUGCAGGAUGACGGCCCUAUGGGUUGUAAACUGCUUUUGCCGGGGAAUAAAGUGAGGCACGCGUGCCUUUUUGUAUGUACCCGGAGAAUAAGGACCGGCUAAUUCCGUGCCAGCCGCCGCGGUAAUCAC
rnacentral:rRNA from 1 species